UUACAACACCUGAAACUCAGCGCUGGUUUCGACUGUGAAGGUGAUAAGAUUGACUACAAACACAAGGUGGCAGAAUUAGAAGGACUUUGUCCGUCCAAAGUGCUACCCACAUCUGAUACGGCAACUCACAGCAGUAGUCCAAUCAAGAGAGAAAUAAAUUCCAAAUCUGAUUUUGAAGCUAUUCACAGGGAGGAUGGAGAGAGCAGAUGUCCGUCUGAACAGUGAGCUGCCAAGUGAGUCCAGAGCGGAGCCGCCACAGACACAAGGGCCCAACUGGUGUGACAAAAGAUGUGCAGGAAGCCCCUCUUCGCCUGGCAUUACAGGGUCUACUCUGGGGUUUAUCAGCACCCAUCUCUAAUCUGUCAGAUGUGACCGCAGAUCCACUCAUCACCCGCUGUCUGCACCGCUCAGCUGAGCCAUUAGGGGCGCCAGGCUGGAACACUGCUCUGAAUGUACAGCCGCCCUAUGGGUCAGGGGAUUGGAGCAGCCCUGUGAGAUCCGGAUCCUGGCGUCUCCUUUUCCACUGAACGAGCCUCCUCAAGCACAAAGCACUCCAAAAGAUCCCUCCACCAAGGUUUAGGAUAACGUCAUCUACUACCUCUAUCUCGAUCUAAAGGCAUUCUAUAGGGCACUGACACUAUGGCAGACCCCACGCAGACUCCAGGAGGCAGCGGUACAGCCAUCACAGAUCUGUCCAGAGAUUCCAUACUGCUGGAGAUGUGCGCUGCUAUGAUGUGUAGGCCUCAGAUGAAUUUUAAACCAGUAUUGACCCACCCACCCCCUCCCACUGAAUGGCGGUAAUCCUUGCUCUGUACCCUGCCACUGACCACAAGCUCUGCAUAUUAAAACAGCUCUGCUCAGAGGCCUAACACCUGUGUGAUCCUCUCACCAAUGAGCCAUGCACCAGCAGAACAUAAAUCAAACUGUAAGUGGGAUAUCUCAUGGCUCGUGCUAGGAUUCAGAAAUCAAAAGGGCAACACUGGCGGCAAAUGGUACACAAGAUCCUCAGUCAGUGCUGUGUUGUAAAAUGCACAGGCUCACUCAACUCUUACGCAUGGUACAGACCGCUAGCAUUUAAACAAACAUAUAUAACAUCAAAGUGGUGUAUUAUUUAGUGAUACUGCAGUCAUAUUACCUUUAUACUAAAACCUGCACCUUUUAUUACUGAUGGGCUAUUUUUUUUUAUUUUGUCUAUAAGCCUAUAAAUGUAUUCACUUAAAGUGUUGUACUUUGAACAAAGAAAGCACUACAUAAACUUUAUGAUGAUAACAGCCUUUCUAUUCUCAGGUAUUGUGUCUAAAAAGACUAAAACUAAACAACUUAUUGGCCUACCAAAAUCAUACCAAUGAAUCAAAAAAAAUAUAAUCAAAGCAAGUUAUUAGCUUACUGCUUGGCGACAUAUUGUUGCUCGUUUCCCUCAUGGCUACAGGCCUACUGGAGUAAGAGCCUAUGGAAAUACUAUCUCAGAAGGAUUGGAGUGAAGCUUUUGAGUUACUCUCCACCAGAAAGGUGGUAGUAUAAGGUAUAGUAGACUUAUACUAUAAUGUUGAAUAUGUAUUUUCAUAAACAAAAUAGUUACUUAUUGUAACAUAUCUUUGCAGUGUGAGUGAAAACAUUAAUUAGCUGAAUUAGCAUUUAUGGAGUGAAUGAUUACUGGAGUACACUUUAUGAGGAAUAAAGGGCUGGCUCAGGUUAAGGCUGAUUGACAGAACUAUUGUCUGGGCGGCUUCUCUCCAUUUUGAACAGCUCAUGUGACCCCCGGCAUUAUGGCCAUGGGGGCAGUGCCAGUCUCUCAGGAUGCUGCUGAUUAAGUGGGAUAAACCAGCCCCUCACGCACAAGUGGCCUGGCUCUCCUCUGGGACGUCCCAUUUGAAGACCUGGGCCUGCCCACUCCACAGCAUCACCUACCUGUUACCAAAAUAUUUGCUUUUUAAACUGCAUAUUUUAAUGCGUCUUGGCCUCAGAAAUUUCACAUUAAAUUUAGCUGCCUCUUAACCUGUGUGCUUAUGGCUUAUUCAUGGCAUAUGCUCUAAUACCUACGUGUGAGAACUAACUAAACAAUGGGGAUUGUACAACUAUUGUAAGGUAAUGGGCGCCCUUAAAUCUUUUGUUUUCGGCGGAGGCGCACUUAGAGCAGGCCUUUCAAGAUAAGCGGCCGGCUGUUGUAGCGCGCCUUUCCCCGCUCCCCCAGGAAAACAUAUCCAUCACAGAUGCCCCCGGGCGUGGGCUAACAAAUUUGUUCAUUCCGGGUCUUACAUAACACCCCGGGAGCCUGAGCCCUGAGCGCUCGUUAUGUGCGCGGAUUUGGUGUGAUCCGCUGGAGACAUCAAGCGCAGGUAGAAGGCGCUCUGUUGUUUUUCCCAUGACAAGCGUUUCAUCAAAGAGCCAUACUGCGUUUUCCCUACGUCCCGUCUAUUAUGGUUAUUAUUACUUUUCACCUACAUCAAACUAGUUUAUUUUGGAGACAAGUGGCGCAAUGACGUGUGACGGAUUGACUGACAAGUUAUUAUUAUUCAGUCAAGCCAAUCACUUAUUUCAGGGAACGGGGGGUCAACAGACGUCAGGCUCACGCAGAGAAAAACAAAUUACAAAUUUGUUGUUGGCGCUUUUGUCAGCCACCUACCUGAAAUGUGUUUGGUUGUUCCUACGAACCGAAAUCAGGCUAUUAAUGAGUACGUAUUCCUUAGGCUAUUUAAUAUGAACACAGGAGAAAAAUGAAAGCGCGUGUUUCUAAAAUCGCCUUGGCUCUUUCUGUGUAAAAUAAGUUUACAGACUACAAAUCUCACCUCUGCCCAGUGUUUAUUCUCUAUGCUAAACAGCGAUGUGAAAAGAGACAAGCCAGUGCCCUCUGCAGGAGGCUGCGCGCAUAAACGCACCAACUUCACAAGACGUGCCACGCCAUAAGAUUUUUACUGACUUAGAGUUAUAAGUAAUAGACCUAAUCAUAACAAUAUAAUGUUUGCACGAUUAUGUAAACUGAAAAGGGGAAUACAUUUCUACUCAAGUUUCUGCCUUUACAAAAAUAUAGCAUUAGCCCCUGGCAUGUGUUUUGGUUUAGCUGCAGAUGUCAUCACAUACAGUAGGCUAAUGAAUUAAUUAUAUAAGAAGAAACAAUUCUAAACAAACAGAUAUUUUUAGAAACAUAGCUUGGCUUUGAUUUUUUUCCUAAUUUACUGUAGUCAAGUGUUUUAAAAAAUUUGGGCAUUAACUUUUACACACUCCCAAUUUUUCUGUGAUACAACAUCACUAAAUCACAUUAACAGCAUGAAUUAACUUGUCGAUCUAAUCUGUGUUAGUUUUUUUUUCUUACACAUAAUGAAUCUGUCUCUAAACUCUAGGUCACUUUAAACAAAAAUACAAAACAAGACCAGCUUCACAAAAAACAACUGCUCUUCUACUUUGUGACUCACAUUAAAAUGGUCGACUAUUUGACCAAAGAUGAGAAACCUCCAACAUUAGUUUGCAUGUAUCAGCCUGUUGCAUUGACCCGGUGCAGAUGAUGGAGUGCUGCUCAGAGAGUCAGCUCUGGGAUCAAUAUGGCACCAUCAACAAAAGCCUGCUGUCAGUGUCCACCAUUGAUGAUCUGUUUCAUAUUACAAAUGUACAAUUCCUGAAGGCCGCUGCAACAAUGUGAACCGCAUGGAAAGAGGAGACAAUAAUAUAAAUAAAUGAUUUAGAAGAACAAUAGCUAAGCAGUGUGGGGACUGACAGAUUCUGUGUUCAUGUAUAAUUUUCUACAUUAUGUGUUUUAUAAUGUAGGGGAUAUGACUUGUGCCUGUAAUGUUUUAUAUUGAUUUUAUAAUGUGUUG